rnacentral:rRNA from 1 species
UACGUAGGAUGCAAGCGUUGUCCGGAUUUACUGGGCGUAAAGCGCGCGCAGGCGGCACAUUAAGUAAGGUGUGAAAUAUCCCGGCUCAACCGGGAGGGUGCACUUUAGACUGAUGAGCUUGAGGUCGGUAGAGGGGGGUGGAAUUGCUGGUGUAGCGGUGAAAUGCGUAGAGAUCGGGAGGAACACCAGCGGCGAAGGCGGCAAACUGGAUAGGCACUGACACUCAACAACGAAAGCGUGGGGAGCAAACAGG